rnacentral:rRNA from 1 species
UACAGAGGUCUCAAGCGUUGUUCGGAUUCAUUGGGCGUAAAGGGUGCGUAGGUGGCGCUGUAAGUCGGGUGUGAAAUUUCGGAGCUUAACUCCGAAACUGCAUUCGAUACUGCGGUGCUUGAGGACUGGAGAGGAGACUGGAAUUCAUGGUGUAGCAGUGAAAUGCGUAGAGAUCAUGAGGAAGACCAGUGGCGAAGGCGGGUCUCUGGACAGUUCCUGACACUGAGGCACGAAGGCCAGGGGCGCAAACGGG